GGCGGCAUGCUUAACACAUGCAAGUCGAACGGCAGCACGGUGUGUAGCAAUACACAUGGGUGGCGAGUGGCGGACGGGUGAGUAGAAAGUAGGGAUCUGCCUUGUAGAUUGGGACAACUUGGGGAAACUCGAGCUAAUACCAGAUAAGCACUAAGGUGGAAAGCAUGGGACCGAAAGGCCAUGCGCUAUAAGAUGAACCUACGUCGGAUUAGUUAGUUGGUUAGGUAAAGGCUGACCAAGACGAAGAUCCGUAGCUGGUCUGAGAGGAUGAUCAGCCACACUGGGACUGAGACACGGCCCAGACUCCUACGGGAGGCAGCAGUGGGGAAUAUUGGACAAUGGGGGCAACCCUGAUCCAGCGAUGCCGCGUGUGCGAAGAAGGCCUGCGGGUUGUAAAGCACUUUAGUUGGGGAAGAAAGAUCAUGAAUCGAAUAGAUUUGUGAAAUGACGUUACCCAAAGAAUAAGCACCGGCUAACUCUGUGCCAGCAGCCGCGGUAAUACAGA
rnacentral:rRNA from 1 species